rnacentral:lncRNA from 1 species
AUUAAUCCCAUGUUAUUAUAUAUAUAUAAAUGUACAUAUUUCAUUACAUAUUGUUGUGAUUUAAAGCCUUACAUAUUUAUUAUAUAUUAUUAUAUUUUUUAUGCAUGUACAUUGUCAACUUUAAAUGGAUGUUGUAAGACCCAAAAUUUGCUCGGGCCCAAAAUGAACAGUCCAGCAAACAUAAAAAAAAAGCCAAUUACAAAACAAGCCUAAACUAAGCCCAAACCUAACCUAACUCUAGCCCACUAUCCUAAACUCCUCCAAGAAACCCUAGCCCUUAGGUGUGCCGCCCCUAGUCUCUGGCCUCUGCCAUGCCGCCGACGUCAGCCCCUCUACCACCACCUGCUCCACCCUCGCCACUUGCACCACCGCCUGCAAGAAAUAAAGACGAAAAUGACAACAAUAAUAAAGAAAUAUUGUAAAAAUGGCUAUAUAAAAGCCAAGCAAGAACAAUGUACUCUCUCUGGAUUUUUUUGAAAUACAAAACAGCAUAUUCAAACACAAAAAUAAGGAAAAUAACAAAGCAAGUUGAAAAGAAAAGUUAGAAGUGGGCUAAGGUUUUCUUCUUUGCUCUUUUUCUUUCUUUUUCUUUUACAAAACGGUUUACAUACAUAUAUAUUUCUUUAUUUCUUUUUUUAAAACUACUUAUAUCAAAAAAGAGUAAAAAAUAUAAAAGAAAUCUUACCUCUUUGAUUCGCAAAAAAAGGGGAGGCAUUUUUUGGCUCCGGCCGCCGUGCACGGCGGUUGCCAGCGACAAAGCCCAUGGCGGCGAUUGACCGGAGUCGGGCCGGAUUUAGAGGGGGGAGAGAGUAGAGAGAGCUUUGAAUUUUUUUUUGAAAACAAAGAUGGAAUGAUUUUUUUUGUAAAAAAUGUGACUUAAAUAGGAA